rnacentral:rRNA from 1 species
AUUGAACGCUGGCGGCAGGCCUAACACAUGCAAGUCGAACGGUAACAGGAAGCAGCUUGCUGCUUCGCUGACGAGUGGCGGACGGGUGAGUAAUGUCUGGGAAGCUGCCUGAUGGAGGGGGAUAACUACUGGAAACGGUAGCUAAUACCGCAUAAUGUCGCAAGACCAAAGAGGGGGACCUUCGGGCCUCUUGCCAUCGGAUGUGCCCAGAUGGGAUUAGCUUGUUGGUGGGGUAACGGCUCACCCAGGCGACGAUCCCUAGCUGGUCUGAGAGGAUGACCAGCCACACUGGAACUGAGACACGGUCCAGACUCCUACGGGAGGCAGCAGUGGGGAAUAUUGCACAAUGGGCGCAAGCCUGAUGCAGCCAUGCCGCGUGUAUGAAGAAGGCCUUCGGGUUGUAAAGUACUUUCAGCGGGGAGGAAGGGAGUAAAGUUAAUACCUUUGCUCAUUGACGUUACCCGCAGAAGAAGCACCGGCUAACUCCGUG